GGGGCGUAAACCGGAACCUGGCAGCGGGUUCCGCCCUCGCGCCGGGGAGGAGUCCCGGAGCCGAGCUGGAGCUGGAGCACCUCUCACACCAUCCUCGCCCUCCCCACCGACAUCAUGCUCCAGUUCCUGCUUGGAUUUACUUUGGGCAACGUGGUUGGAAUGUAUCUGGCUCAGAACUAUGAAAUGCCAAACCUGGCUAAAAAACUUGAAGAGAUUAAGAAGGACCUGGAAGCCAAGAAGAAGCCCCCUAGUUCCUGAUGCCUGCCUGGCACUGCAAUCUGGACCCACCAGUUCCAUCCUGGGGGGCCUGUCUCCUUCACAGCCACGUCCAAAGCUGUGUUCCUCUUUGGUCUCAGACCGUGCGCGUUGCUGAGGCUCCAGCACAGGCCAGAAGUGGAGUUAGCUUUCCGUUUCCAGCAUCUCCCCGUCUCCCGUAUCUUCCGUCCACCUGCUUCUGAGACCUAAGCCUGGAACCAUGGUGCUAGGUUAGCAGCCGCAACCAUGACAGGACUCACUCGCCUGUGCUCUGGGAUUCCUACCGCCUACUGUCAAGAAAUGAAUGGAUGUGGGUAGCUGCUGGGGACUCACUGUCUAGCAGUGAUAACAGGAGCUUGCUAGACAAACUAAAUUGUGUUAAAGUCAUUAAAGUCAGCAUCUUCAAGCCAGUUUCUGGUGAAUUAAUCCAUUUAUUAUAUAUUGUUAUNNNNNNNNNNNNNNNNNNNNNNNNNNNCCAGUAAUGGUCAUUAACCAAGAAACUGUUUUAUGAAUUCUAUAAAAAGCAAACAAACUGGGAAAACUUAAAACAUGCAAAGUAACUGUUGUCUUCGUACAGUUCAGUCUAUGCAGUCUAUGUUUUUCCUUAAUGAUAUAUUUGAGCUGAAUCUGCCGUAAAAGAGCCAUUCUUUAUGCUGGCACUUGAUAGGAUGGGUGGAUAAAUGAGGAGCUGUUGAUAAAAGAAUUUUACUUCUUUUNNNNNNNNNNNNNCAGCCUAGUCCGUAAUGUUUUUAAUUAAAAAAUAUUUAAAAAUUAUUCCCACAGGAGAUGAUAGGAAAGUGAUUUCACAUGAAGACUCUUUCUAGCCUCUGUCUUAUUCCCAGGUACAAUUCCUCAGGCAAUCCCUGGUGUCAGGUUCCUGUGUGCCUUUGAGAAGGAGUGUCUAACCACAUAUGUGUUUUCGUAUUUUGUUACAUACAUACAUGCAUACACACACACACACACACACACACACACAUAUGCUUUUUGUCUCUUCCUAUCACUUUUGUUUUUACACAGAGUCAUGACGCCCACGCUUUUACAGUCAGUGAUAACAUCUGACCCUCCUGCCUCUGCCUCUCAGGUGCAGGGAUCGUAGGUGUGCACUGCCAUGCCCAACUGUGCUUUUUAAAGCUCUUUUUCUUUUCUUUCAUUUGCUUGUUUUUUUGAGAUAGGGUAGCCCCAGCUGGCCUGGAACUCACUCUGUAGACCAGGCUGGCUUCAUACUCCCAGAGAUCCGUCUGCCCUUUGCCUCCUGAGUGCUGGGAUUGAAGGUGGCUCCAUCAUGCUUGGCUUGCUUCUUUAUUCUUAGUGGAGAGCAUCCCCCUUCCGUCAGUACGUUAACCUUCCCCCUUUGUUUACUGUGCGCGGUUCCACUGAAUGGGUGUUUCAUAAUUGAAUGUGCUACUGCUGAGUGCUUAGGCUGGUCUUCUGCUGGUGUGGUGCUAGCACUGAACCUGAUGCCCAUAUCUGCCCAGAGUAGAGCUAUAGGAUAACGACUCACAGUCUAGUUUGCUAAGACACGGUGUGUCUCGUUUCAGAGGGCUUAUUGGGCAACUUCCCUGACAAUGAAUGCCUUUUUUGAAGAUAUUUUACCAGACCACAGGUUGCAAAGAUAUGUUAGGGACAUCUGUCUGUUUUCGGGAAGUGAGGACAGUGACCCCAUAUGGCGUUGCUCCUUAGAGAUACAUUCCAUCCCUGUAAAGGUCAUCUCUGUAUACGAGACAGAGGUUGGCUUCUCCCUAGCAGUGGGGAGUGGGAAGUGGUGUGUUCUUCUGAGACUCUGUAACACCUACCUCAUGAGGGUUUCCUGGGAAACAGUGAGAUGAUGUUCUGUGCUCUGUUAGACUGUGCUUUGCAAACUGUCCAAUAAAUAGUAGCUACCCAUUGGAAAA
ensembl:lincRNA 1810058I24Rik RIKEN cDNA 1810058I24 gene